rnacentral:rRNA from 1 species
AGUGAACGCUGGCGGUAGGCCUAACACAUGCAAGUCGAACGGCAGCACAGUAAGAGCUUGCUCUUACGGGUGGCGAGUGGCGGACGGGUGAGGAAUACAUCGGAAUCUACUUUUUCGUGGGGGAUAACGUAGGGAAACUUACGCUAAUACCGCAUACGACCUACGGGUGAAAGCAGGGGAUCUUCGGACCUUGCGCGAUUGACUGAGCCGAUGUCGGAUUAGCUCGUUGGCGGGGUAAAGGCCCACCAAGGCGACGAUCCGUAGCUGGUCUGAGAGGAUGAUCAGCCACACUGGAAAUGAGACACGGUCCAGACUCCUACGGGAGGCAGCAGUGGGGAAUAUUGGACAAUGGGCGCAAGCCUGAUCCAGCCAUACCGCGUGGGUGAAGAAGGCCUUCGGGUUGUAAAGCCCUUUUGUUGGGAAAGAAAAGCAGCAGGUUAAUACCCCGCUGUUCUGACGGUACCCAAAGAAUAAGCACCGGCUAACUUCGUG